rnacentral:rRNA from 1 species
CUGGGCGUAAGCGCACGCAGGCGGUCUGUCAAGUCGGAUGUGAAAUCCCCGGGCUCAACCUGGGAACUGCAUUCGAAACUGGCAGGCUAGAGUCUUGUAGAGGGGGGUAGAAUUCCAGGUGUAGCGGUGAAAUGCGUAGAGAUCUGGAGGAAUACCGGUGGCGAAGGCGGCCCCCUGGACAAAGACUGACGCUCAGGUGCGAAAGCGUGGGGAGCAAACAGGAUUAGAUACCCUGGUAGUCCACGCCGUAAACGAUGUCGACUUGGAGGUUGUUCCCUUGAGGAGUGGCUUCCGGAGCUAACGCGUUAAGUCGACCGCCUGGGGAGUACGGCCGCAAGGUUAAAACUCAAAUGAAUUGACGGGGGCCCGCACAAGCGGUGGAGCAUGUGGUUUAAUUCGAUGCAACGCGAAGAACCUUACCUACUCUUGACAUCCAGAGAACUUUCCAGAGAUGGAUUGGUGCCUUCGGGAACUCUGAGACAGGUGCUGCAUGGCUGUCGUCAGCUCGUGUUGUGAAAUGUUGGGUUAAGUCCCGCAACGAGCGCAACCCUUAUCCUUUGUUGCCAGCGGCUAGGCCGGGAACUCAAAGGAGACUGCCAGUGAUAAACUGGAGGAAGGUGGGGAUGACGUC